UUUGGGUGCCUCACAUGGCUCACUGACUCGCACUUCGAAAUGGCCUUUUCCAAUGCACCAGAUCUUUCUAAACGCUAAACUAUGAUAGACCCCCUGCUGCAUAGCAUAUUGAUAUCAGGUCAUUAGGUUAAUCGAUACACGCAAGUCUUCUUCACUUGUGAAUCUAAAUUGUUAAUGAUUUCGCAGUUAUAAUGCGCAAAUCCAAGAGGAAACUGCAUUUGUGCUUCAGCUGUCAAUUUGGUAGGUUCUCUCAAAUCCUAAUUAUCAAAAGCAACAAAAUAGCGUGUGAAUAAAAUCCUUAACUCGGUGAGUAGAAUUACAUUUUCUGUACUUCUCUUCUUAAUAAUCAUUAGCUGAAGAUUGGCUCGAUAAUGGAUGAAACCCACUGUACAUGAUUGCUAGAUUAAUGUAGAAUAACCCUAUAUGCAUGAAAGAGUUAAGGAGUUAGUACUAGUUAUAGUUCAUAAGAUAAUGUCUCUUUCGUAAGUGGAAUUCUAUAUCAAAUUAUACCAAAAUUGACGACAAAAUUAACAAUUAUUCG